UACGAAGGGUGCAAGCGUUGUUCGGAAUUACUGGGCGUAAAGCGCGCGUAGGCGGGUUAGAAAGUCGAUUGUGAAAAGCCCUGGGCUUAACCUGGGAACUGCCUUCGAUACUGGCGAUCUUCGAGUCCGGGAGAGGUGAGUGGAACUCCGAGUGUAGAGGUGAAAUUCGUAGAUAUUCGGAAGAACACCAGUGGCGAAGGCGGCUCACUGGCCCGGUACUGACGCUGAAAUACGAAAGCGUGGGGAGCAAACAGG
rnacentral:rRNA from 1 species